AAGAUUAAAUUAUGGGAGCUCAACACCUUUAUUGUCUGUCUGUCUUUCAUCUCCUUCUCCCUCUACUUUUUAGUUCUGACGAUAACCACAUUACAGAGUGAGGUGGUCAACCUACAGAGAAUGCUGUCAGCUCUCAGUCAGUCAACCACAGCCCAGAUAGUUCGUAAGUGUCAUCUCUAUUCACUAUUUUAAUGUGAUUCAAGUUACUUCUCUUUUACGUAAAAGUCUUCGUUUAUCAGGUGGUCCUUUUCUUUUUCAUAUUUCUGGUAGGGCUGGAGAAGCAGUUGGAGGAUAAGAAGAAGCAGUUGGCCACGCUGGUUGAGCAAAGUGGAAAGGGUGAUGAACAGACUAAGUGGAUCCAUCCCACUGAUACAGUUUCCUUCAGGAGACAAACAUUUUUUAUUUGUAAUGUCUGACAGUUACACAGUGUUAAAUGAUAUCUCAUUUUUAAUUUCAGGUCCAAAAAUGUCAAACCUUGAGAAUCAAAUAAGUGAAAUAGAAAAGAGAAUAGCAGAGCUAAAAGAAGAAAAUCCUGAAGCCAAGAUCACUGAGCUGACAACACAGCUUAAGGAAAGCGAGAGGCAGCUUGAGGAGAACAUAAAAAGACUGAAGAAGAAAGACAGCAAGAAUUCUUACCUGAGUGAGUUACUAUAGUAACCUGAAAUAGCCAACGACUGUUUUAAAAAUAGCUCACUGCAUAUUUUGAAUAUAAUGGACAUGCUGCUUAAGUACUUUUUUUUUUUACCUUGUUCUCAACAGAACAAAGACGUAUCUAAAAGUUCCAUGAUAACAUUUAUUUAUUUAGUGCCACUUUAAAAUACUGCAACUCACUACUUUUUUUUGUACUCGAAGUUAUGCAAAUUCUUCAUCUACAAAGGAAACUCAGAGACAUACAAAAUGCUGCAUCUCAGCAAUUCAAUGAAACUGCUGCUGAUGUUACUGGUGAGUGUUUGGACUUCAUCAAGCAUAAUAAAUAUGUAAUUAUUUUGUUGAUUUUUUAAUAUAUCAUUAACUUAAUUAAAAUAUGACUCAUACACUCUUUGAAUAUGUACCUCAUUUAUCUAAUAAUAUGUUAACAUUAGUAAUUGAAUUACAGCGCUUCAGGAACAACUAGAGGCCAGAGAGGAAGAGAGCGCCAGAUGUCAGGCCCAGAACAAAGGUAAGCCAAGAUCAGGUCCUUCCUGAUAAUUAGGCCUGGUUCACCAGUUUGUGUAACUAGCGCUUGAUGAGCAAAGCUGCUUGAAUCAUAACACAGGUAAAGAACCAGAAGCACACGUCUCAACAGUGUUACGGUCGUCAGGAGACACGACCAAGCACAGCGUGAUUGGAGUUCCACAUCUUUAUUUUAGUGAAACUUAAACAAACCAAGAAACAA
rnacentral:lncRNA from 1 species